rnacentral:lncRNA from 1 species
AGAGUGCCCCGGCGUCUCUCUAGCCUCCGCCUCCAGGCGGGUGAGGAGGUGACACCUGAGAAUUCCUCCCUCUCACCCCUGACCCUGCCGGAAAGGGAAACUGAGAUGCGGGCAUUGGGCCCUGGGAAGCGUGGGGAAGGGGAAAGGAGAAAGCCAGAAAAUGGAGAAAUUAAGUCCUUUCCAUGAAUCACUCCUUCUGUAAACAGAGAUCACAAAGCAAGAGCUUUAGCAUCCUCGUGAAAAGACAUUUUGUUCUGGGUGUCAUCAUCUCCUUCCACUACAGCUUGCAAUUGGAACAAGCUUCAUAUCCUGGGGGUGCUGCCUAUCUCUGUCUUGAUUUCUGUCUGUCUAUUCCUCCCAUUGACAGGAAUAUCGUUUGUAUCCUCCACGCAGCAGUUUGCAGAAAUCCAGCAAGGUUUAUGGUUUAUGUUGCCCAGCAUGUAUAAACACAGUGCUCUCAAAUGUUUUUUAAAAAUCUGUGAAUUUGUUAGAUGUCUUAACAUCCUGGUCCUCCUACCCCAAUUCUCAAACACAAAGUACUCUAUUUCCCUGAUAUAGUCCUACGAUAGUUCUGGCUAGGAUUAGGUUGACGGUCUAAGCCCCAAGAAAGGCCUGGCAUUUUCAUAGCAGGCCUUCCCCAAUGCUUUGAGUCUUCCUCUCUCACUCCCUUUUUCUUUUUCCCUCGGAGGAGGGGGUGAUGGGGGUGGGAGGUCUUUAGCAAAUGUUUCAGGUAAUCCGUGAAUUCUUAAUAGUCAUAUUUCCAUGGUGGAAGAUCUCCCUGUUUCUCUGAUGUGACAGGUUACAGAAACCUUGGUGUUGGGGGUUUUACAGAUAUUUACAAGUUCUAGGAGUUUGAACUUUGGGUCAAGAUGUUGACUCCUUUUAAUGUGUGAGGGUGAAGGAGGUUUUAUUUUGCUUUAUUCUUUUGGAUGUUAUGAGAUGAGAUUGUAUCCAGUCUUGGCUGUAACCUAUACCAUAAAUGCAGAGCUGCAACCAUUAUUUCUGUCUCUUUCUCCUUUUAUCACCUACACUUCUAGAGAUAUUACUUUCAGUUUUAUUGCAAAUCAUCUGUGUCUUUAGUUUAAACCAUUAUUUUUCAUAUACCCCAGGCACAUUUCCCUUACAAUGAGACAAAUUUUAGAUUAUUAAUGUUCCACCUAAAAGGAUACUGUACACUUUUCAUUGCCAAUAUGGGCUUUGAAGCUUAAAUAUCAACAUUUUUAUAGGAAAUUUACCCAUGUCAAAUUUAAAUAUAUUUGCUUAUAUCUCUUGGAAAAAAGAUUUUGGAUAACUAUCAAUUAAGCAGCCAAUUCCAUUUGGGGUGCAGAAAAUUUUGAGCCCCUUGAUAAGAAGGAAACAAUUUUUCCUCUUAAUAACCAACUCUGGAUCAGAAAAAUUGAACUUUUCUAAAUAUUUAUUAUUAACAAAACUUUUUUUUGUCUGAUUCCACUAGAAGCAUCCUGUGUUGUGAACACCAUAAAGUUAUCCUAUGUUGUGAACACCAUAAAGUUAUGAGGGAAAAAAUGUCAAAUCUAAAUUUUAUUUAGAAGUAAGAUAUUGUUUUUCUUGACUUGCAAUCCAAUUUGAAUGCGUUGUUAGACUUUUCUGUUUUCUUAUGAUUAAAUAACAAUGGCUUAAAAUGAUAGCAAGUCAACUGAAAAGUUGCUUUGGAAUAAAACAAAAGUGGGAAUGCCAACUUUCUUUUCUUCUCUAUAACUUCAUUAACAUGGUUGUAUAGACAUUUGCGUGUAAAAAUGUAGCUAACAAAAAUUACACAGAAGUAAAUUUAGUCCUCUAGUGCCUACCUCUAUGGUGAAAUCAGACCAUUUGGCAUAGUUUGAAUUCUUCCAAGAAGCCUGGUUUCCACCUGGAAAAUAAAUUACUAAAUUUGAAUGUGUUACUUAUACUAUGGUGAGUUGUCUAUCUGUUACAUUUUAUUUUAGUGCAUAUACUAGAAAUUGUAUUUAGGGUGUUCUAAAAUUGUCAUCUGUCAAGGUAGAGAAUUAUAAUAAUAUAAUUAUACUCAGAAAGUGUUCUGAUUUUAGAUUAUUUUGGCACUGUUACAAAUAUGAAUUUUUUAAAAAUUCAGAAUGUUUAUUACAAAUUCAUAUGUUUAAUUGUCAAAUUUUGAGAUUAAUUUAGAUAAGCUAUAACCAAAGUUUAUUUUCUUUGCAUUUAUUGGUACAGAGUUAAUGCUUAUACACAGGCUUCAGUGUAACACAUAUACACUAUUACAAUAUUUAGCUGUACUUAUUUGCUUUAUCUUUAAAUGGUACUUUGUCCCAAAAUUUUCUGAGUUUGAUAAAUUAUCAAACAUUUAUCAAAUCAC